AUACGGAGGGUGCAAGCGUUAUCCGGAAUCAUUGGGUUUAAAGGGUCCGCAGGCGGUCAAUUAAGUUAGAGGUGAAAUCCCGUCGCUCAACGACGGAACUGCCUUUAAUACUGGUUGACUUGAGUUAUACGGAAGUAGAUAGAAUGUGUAGUGUAGCGGUGAAAUGCAUAGAGAUUACACAGAAUACCGAUUGCGAAGGCAGUCUACUACGUAUAUACUGACGCUCAUGGACGAAAGCGUGGGGAGCGAACAGGAUUAGAAACCCCAGUAGUCC
rnacentral:rRNA from 1 species